rnacentral:lncRNA from 1 species
AAUGAGACUGCAGGCACAGGUGCGGCCGGAUUCCCUGUCGCUGUCCCGCGCUGAGUGAAUUUUGCCUCGGAGCUGGUCCGAGGUCGCGCCUGCUCUUUUGUGUGCCCAAGGCAGAUUUCCAGGUUUCGGUUACGUGAUUAUCUUUUUUUUUUUUUUUUUUUUGAUAAUUGGGUUGUGGAACAUGCAAAGGUGUCUCCCAUCAGUGUAAGGCUUCAUGGGACAGGGUCGGUGUUCAGUGCAGUAUCUGAGCCUGGUGUAUGGUAGGCGCUCAAUAAAUAUUAAAUGAUGAAAGGAUAUUACUGCAAGUUAAAGUCAUGUUACACGGAGCACAAGAUUUAUUUUCGUGGGAUUCAUAACGCAAGAGCACACAGUCCCGUUGGUGUCUCCUUGGCGUGCAAUGAAUGUCUGCCUAACUAGGCUGGCUUACUGUGUGUUUACAACUGAAAUCAGUUGUCAGUCGGUUCUAGAAAUCUUCAGUUAGGCUUCUCUAAGUGUUUUACGGGAACACGGAACUCAAUCACAGCCCUCAUGGAAAUGUUUUUUGUAACCAUAUUCUUUCUACUGUAUAGUAAUAUACAGGAUUAUUUGAAAUUGUACAUUAUUUAACAUUAUGAAAACUUUAUAUCUCAUUGGUUUUCCUCCUCGGUCUAUAUAGGACUAUACAGAGACAUUUUAUGUAAAAUAAUUUACACCAUUGAGGCUUUUUUUUUUUUUUUUGGAGGCAGGGUCUCGGCCCUGUCGCCCAGGCUGGGGGUGCGGUGCAGUGGCUAAUCAUAGCUCACUGAAGCCUCAGCACUCCUGGGCUCAAGCAAUCCUCCCAUCUCAGCCUCCCAAGUAGCUGAAACUACAGGCGUGCAACACCACUCUGGGCUAAGUUUUAAUUUUUAAAUUUUUUUGGUGGUGGUGGUGGUGGUGGUGGUGGUGGUGAAGAGGUCACACUAUGUUGCCCAGGCUUGUCUCGAACUCCUGGUGUUAUGCAAUCCUCCCGCCUAGGCCUCCCAAAGUGCUGGGAUUACAGGAAUGAGCGGCCAGGCCUGGCCCACAGUAUACUUUUCUUGUUGAGGACAAACCAUAUAGCAUAAUCCAGAUGAAAGAGCAAGCUAUAUAUACGCCUCAAUUUUUACAAAAGAGUAAGAUACUUAUGUCUCUGUACUCUUUAUCUUUCUUCUAUUAAUCUAGAGGUUCUCAGAUGUGCCUCUAUUUUAACUAGUUGAUUUGGGGAUUUCAGGUGAACCCUGGCAAUAGGAAUAAUUUAUUGUUAAUAAAAUUAUAAAUGAGAAAAUUUUUCAUUCACUUUAUUAAAUGACCCAGGACACUGAAGAAAAACGGAAUAAAUUUUUUUCUUUUUUUUUUAAUUGAAAAGAAGUAGAAAUCUGUCUUCUAACUCUAAGGCCUUGGGAGAUGAAGGAUCCGUGAUUCAAAGGCAGAAAUGUAAGUGAUGAAAAAGAAUGCUGUCCUGUAAUAAGGCAAAAAAGAAACGAGGAACAGCAUCCUUAGUCCUUGAUGUUAGAACAGUCUUUUUACAUAUUGCUGAAUAUAAAACAUCAAAGUUCAUGGAAGAGCCAUAGGAUUCAGAGCUCAAAGAGGCCACAGAGAUUAUAUAGUACAGGGAUUAAGCAUGAGACUUUGCCUGGAUGCAAAGUCAAACAUCUCAACUUUCUAGUUGUGCAACUUUGGGCAAAUUGAUUAACUUCUGUUAUGCCUCAGUCUCCUUAUCUGUGAAAGUAGAACCUACUACAUGGAACUGGCGUAAGGUUUAUAAAAAUGCUUAGAGGGGUGCCAGCACAAGACACUUAAAAUUACUUUACUGAGUUAAUAAUACACACAUACUUCAGAGAUAUUUUGGGUUCUGUUCCAGACCACCACAUAAAGUAAAUAUCGCAGUAAAGUGAAUCACACAAAUUUUUUGGUUUCCCAAAACAUAUGCAAGUUAUGUUUACACUAUACUGUGGUCUAUUAAGUGUGCAAUAAUAUUAUGUCUGCAAAAGCAAUGCACAUACCUUAAAAAGUGCUUUGUUGCCAAAAAGUUGCUAAUGAUCAUCUAAGCCUUUGCAAGUUGCAAGUUUUAAAUUUAUUUUUAUUUUUAUUUCUUUUUUUUUAAGAGAUGGAGUCUUGCUGUGUUCUCCAGGAUUGAGUACAGUGGCUUAUUCACAGAUGUGAUCAUACUACACUACAGCCUCAAACUCCCGGGGUCAAGCAGUCCUCCUGCUUCAGCCUCCUGAGGAGCUGGGACUACAGGCCCACAUCACCAUGCCCACUAGAUUCACAGUCAUUUUGCUUGUGGAAGGUCUUGCCUCAAUGUUGAUAGGUGCUGACUGAUCAGGGUCAGGUUGCUGACUGAUCAGAAUGGUAGUUUCUGAAUGUUGGGAAUGGCUAUGGCAAUUUCUUAAAAUAAGACAACAAUGAAGUUUGCUGCAUUGAUUGACUCCCUUUCACAAAGGAUUUCUCCAUAUCAUGCAAUGCUGUUUGAUAGCAUUUUACCCAUAGUAGAACUUCUUUCAAAAUUGGAGUCAAUUCUCUCAAACCUUGUCUCUGCUUGGUCAACUAAGUUUAUGCACUAUUCCACAUCCUUUGUUGUCAUUUCAACAAUAUUUACAGAGUCUUCACCAUGAAUAGAUUCCUUUUCAAACAACCACUUUCUUUGCUCAGCCAUAAGAAGCAACUCUUCACCCAUUCAAGUUUUAUCAUGAGAUUGCAGCAAUUCAGUCACAUCAAAUUCCACUUCUAAUUCUAGUUGUUUUUCUAUUUCCACCACAUCUGCAGGUACUUUCUCCACAGAAAUUUCAAACCUCUCAAAGUCAUCCGUGAGGGUUGGAAUCAACUUCCAAAUUUCUGUGAAUGUUGAUAUUUUGACCUCCUCCUAAUCACAAAUGUUCUUAAUGGCAUCUAGAAUGGUGAAUCUUUUCCAGAAGGUUUUCUAUGUGCUUUGCCCAGUUCCAUCAGAAGAAUCACUGUCUGUGGUAGCUCUAGCCUUAUUAAAUGUAUAUUUUAAAUAAUAACACCUAAAAAUCAAAAUGACUCCUUGAUCCAUGGGCUGUAGAAUAGACAUUGUGUUAGCAGUCAUGAAAACAAGAUUAAUCUCCUCAUAUAGCACCAUUAUAGCUCUUGGGUGACCACGUGCAUUGUCAAUGACCAGUAAUAUUUUGAAAGGACACCUUUUUUUUUGAGCAGUAGGUCUCAACAGUGGACUUAAAAUAUUCAGAAAGCUGUGUUGUAAACAGAUGUGCUGCCAGCUAGGUAUCGUUGUUCCAUUUAUAGAGCACUGGUAGAGCAGAUUUAGCAUAAUUUGUCAGGACCCUAGGAUUUUUGGAAUGGUAAAUGGGCACUGGCUUCAACUUCAAGUAACCAACUGCAUUAACUCCUAACAAGAAGAGUCAGCCUGUCCUUGAAAGUAUGAAAACAGGCAUGGACUUCUCCUCUCUAGCUAUGAAAGUCUUAGAUGGCAUCUUCUUCCAAUAGAAGUUGUUUCAUGUACAUUGAAAAUCUGUUGUUUGGUGUAGCCACCCUCUUCGAUGAUCUUAGCUAGAUCUUCUGGAUAACUUGCUACAGUUUCUACAUCAGCACUUGUUGCCUUACCUUACACUUUCAUGUUAAGGAGAUAGCUUCUUUCCUUAAACCACAGGAACGAACCUCUGCUAUCUUCUAGAUUUUCUUGGGCAACUUCCUUACUUCUUUCAGCUUUCAUAGAACUGAAUAGUGUUAGGAUCUUGCUCUGGGUUAGGUUUUGGCUUAAGGGAAUGUGGUAGCUGGUUUGAUUUAUUUAGACCACUAAAACUUUCUUCAUAUCAGCAUUAAGGCUGGUUUGCUUUAUUAUCAUUUAUGUGUUCACUGGAGUAGCACUUUAAAUUUCCUCCAAGCUUGUUUGCUUUUCACUCACAGUGUGGCUGUUUGGUGCCAAGAGGCCUAGCUUCCCAGUCUUGGCUUUCAACAUGCCUUCCUCACUAAGCAUAGUCAUUUCUAGCUAUUUAUUUAAAGUUAGAGAUGUGCAACUCUUCUUUCACUUGAACACUUAGAGGCUAUUGUAGGGUUAUUACUUGGCUUAAUUGCAAUAUUGUUGUGUCUGGAGGAAUAGAGAGGCCUGGGGACACAAAGAGAAAUGGGGAACAGCUGGUCACUGGAGCAGUGAGAACACACGCAACAUUUAUUGAUUAAAUUCGCUGUUUUAUGGGCUCGGUUCAUGGUGCUCCAAAACAAUUAUAAUAGUAACAUCAAACAUCACUGUUCACAGGUCACCAUAACAGAUAUAAUGAUAAUGAUAAUAAUAAUAAUGUUUGAAAUAUUGCAAGAAUUACCAAAAUGUGACUCAGAGAAACAAUAAAGUGAGCACAUGCUGUUGGAAAAAUGGUACUGAUAGACUUGAUCCAUGCAGGGUUGCCACAAACGAUUAAUUUGCAAAAAAAACAAACAAAAGAACAUGCAGUAUCUGUGAAGCACAAUAAAGCAUACUGCAAAUAAAAUGUGUGCCUGUCCUGUAUUAACUUUGUUACUAUUUAAUCUAGCAUUUCCCAAAAUGUGUUUCUUGGAAUACAACUAGUCUUAUGAUUCCCCUAACCUGAACUGGUUCUCUGGGAAUGCACCCACAGGAGGAUAGGUCCUUGGGUGAUCUUGGCCAAUCCAGCUCUCCCUGCAACUUGUAGUUCUCAGAAUAACCGAGAAUGCAACUUUCUGAGAUAGAGAGGUGAUGUCCAGAAUAAUCCAUAUUGUGUCCUUGUUCCUCCCAGAACAGGGUGUACUGCAGCGCUUGUUCUCAGUGAUCCUAGUGCCACCUAGAGUAUAAAACCCAGAGCACAGUGCUUUCAGUGUCCCUCAGCUGCAGUGGAAUGUGGAGCACACACAGAUAAGACCCUUUCCACACUCAGCAGCUUUCUUGAGCCUUAGAGGACUGGCUUGCUGUGGAUCCUAGGCUUCUAUUUAUUCCUGCUGCUCAUCUAUCUGUGCAUAGUAAAUCUUUGUCUAGCCUGUGUGAGUGUUCUGUCUCUCUCACCAGACUCAUGCGAUUGGUAGAGAACCUUUGCGACAAUUUUGGGAGACAUGUAAAAUAUAUCCUUGGUGAAAAAUCCCAAAAUAUAUUUGCAUAUUAAGUGUUUAGAGAAGGUUUUCUGUACCUAUUACUUAAACCUAUUGAACUUUUCUAUAGUCCAGUACUUCUUGAAGUGUCAACUUAGCCAAUUCCCAUUUUCUGUGAGUUGCUUACUCCUCUGUUCACCCACAGGAGGGAUUCCUAAAGCUGUACCUAUUCUGUGGGGCUUUACCUCUACCUGGUCUCAGUUUAUUGGAUUAAGGUUGAACACCUAAACCAAAGAGACCCAAUUAAUAAGCUGAAGUAAAGAGCAUCAUGUUCUCUUUGGACACUGGACAGAUGGAUGUUGAUGAGCUUGUGUGCAGCAGUUCUACUGGAAGUAUGUACAAGGGGCUCAGCCAGCCAAUUUGGACGGUGUAUGUGAUAAGCAGAGAAAGGCAGCAGUCUGCAGAGACUGCAGAAUGAAAAAAAAAAAAAAAAAAAAAAAGCAGAAACCCAGAGAGAAAUCAGACAAAAGACCAGGUGGUGGGCAGGGGUCUGGGGAUUAUCCAAGCUUAAAAUUCAGGGUCUCUAAACUUGAACAGCCUGAUUUCAAAGCUGUGGGCCUAGCAAUGUGUUCACAUAGCAAUUUGGCUUUGUAAAAUUUAUAAAAGUAAGAUAUUUUAACCACAAUAGCUUGAGUCUAUUGUCUCAUUUCACCCUGAUUUUCCCUCUAUCAUACUUUUUUUUUUUUUUUUUUUAACUAUCUGGUGGUGUUGAAAUUGCCAUAUAUAUCUUUGGGAACAAAUCACAAAUUGAACUGAGGAUAUAUUUUUUGGCAUCUAGCAGGAUAUAUAUUUGUAGAUCACAGUUACUUCCAUACAGUUAAGCUAUUUCCAGCCCUUGUAAUGUAAGAAUGGCAUUCAGGAAUAGUCCCUAGUCCCACUGUGCCAACCCUAUCUUGUGAUGCCAAAGAUGCAGGGCCUGAGAUCUCCUAAUAUGUCUUACAGUAACCAGCACUGAAAGUAUUUAAGUAGUGGAGGAGAAGCAAGUUUUAAACAGGUUUCAUCAGCUAAGCCACAAGCUGGUCUAUGGAAAAUUCUUCAGUCAUCAAAUACGUAAAAUUUUAAGCAGAAGGUUGGUACUCACUUCCAAUCAGAAGUGGAAGGAAUAUAUAUGUCAUGCAUUUUUUUUUGAGACAGAGUCUCACUCUGUUGCCCAGCAUGGAGUACAGUUGUGCAAUCUUGGCUCACUGCAACUGCCACCUCCUGGGUUCAAGUGAUUCUCCUGCCUCAGCCUCCCAGGUAGCUGGGAUUACAGGUGCCUGCCACCAUGCCUGGCUAAUUUUUUUUUUUUUUUUUGUAUUUUUAGCAGAGACGGGGUUUCACUAUGUUGGACAAGCUGGUCUCCAACUCCUGACCUCUGGUAAUCUGCCUACCUUGGCCUCCCGAAGUGCUGAGAUUACAAGUGUGAGCUACCAUGCCCAGCCAGUCGUGUGUAUAUUUUACAAUAUGACGUAUGAAUGGUAAGUGUGACCUCAACUCCCAGAAAGGUAAAAUAAGGGCCUCUGAAAAUCUACUCCUCCAUAAAAGCAACAGGAACACUGGGAAAUUGUCAAAAUUAACUUUUUCAGAUCUCUGGAAACUAACUAAAAGCUUAUAACAAUCCAAGAAGUAGUUAUUUAAGACAAAUGGCUGAAUCUCAUAACAAUGAGACUUGAGGUGUUUUAACUCUUCCUAAUCCCUUCUCACUCUCUCUAGCUUUAUAGUAGCCUUAAAAACCAACAGCUUCACAACUAUGGUAGCUGUGAAACCCACCAGCCCACUGUCAUUGGAGAAGUCAGAACAGGUUAAGAGGUCCUCAAAAGCCUCAUCCCUAGGGUGUUUUUAGUGUUCAGCCUGUCUGGCACCUUACUGAAAAGCUCCGUUCUCAGGGCUUGUAUUUAUUUGACAUGAAUCAGAGCUCACUUUGUGCAAACAGCUCCGCCAGCAGGGAAUUUGACAAAGACAAUAAGCAGCAGUUGUUUAAUAUUGUAGCUGCCUAAGGCAGUAUUGCCAUUUAGGGCUUUCAAAAUGCUGACCUAAACACUUAAAUGGAAAAACUGAGUAUAUUAGUCAGGAUUCUCCAGAGAAACAGAACCAAUAAGAUGAAUGGAUGGAUGGAAAGAUAGAUAGAUAGAUAGAUAGAUAGAUAGAUAGAUAGAUAGAUAGAUAGAUGAUACAUACAUACACACAUGUAUACAUACAUAUGUCACAGGAUCCUUAGGGUGUUGCUUCACCAGCCAGAAACCUCUGUGGCUAGUGGUACCUUCUGCCUGAAUAUUGCUUGCACCUGCUGGACUUGUUUUGCCCACUCGGCCUGGCAAGCUGUGCUCAGCUCAGGCUACCGGCCCGGAUCCCACACCUGCCAACAGCAAACCAGGUUCAGAAUGGUGAGGAGUGUGUGGGCCAGUGAGCGUGGGGUCCGGCCACUGUGCACAGCCAGGCAGGCUGGCUACUGUGGCAAGGCAGGCAGCUCCAGGCGCCAGCACAGGUGCUGGCUCCGUGCGAGGCUGUGGCUGGUCCAAAUGUUCUGUGUGCAGAUUCUGUUGCAGACACCCACAUCUGGAUGAAGGGAACACAGUGGCACCCGGAAGCUUGGAGAUGCCAGGAACCACACAGCCCUAAAGAGGGUGUCACAGCCCUGGCUGGGGAGUCCCUAGGUCUGGGCUUCCCGAAGGGCCACAGCUCUUCUCUCCUUCUUGUUGUCCAUAACAUGGCAAGCAGGGGGGCGUGUUUCAUGCCUGUUUGUGUUAUAGCUCUUUCAGUCCUGUCAUUUGUUGGGUCUUGAGCUCUUAUCCUGAAUCCAGGAAGAAUGAGGUAAGCAAGCAAGGUGGAGAGGGCAAGCAAGGUGGAGAGGAGCUUCAUUGAGUGACAGAACAGCUCUCAGGAGACCUGAAGUGGGUAGCUCCUUUCUGCAGGUAGGUCAUCCUGAUGAGUGUCCAGCUCUCAGUGGAGAGGAGACCCAUAGUGGGUAGCUCUUUUCUGCAGGCAGGUCAUCCUGAUGAGUCAAGGAGACUCGAAUUGGAUAGCUCCUUCCCACAGCUUGUAGUCUUGAAAUCUGUGUGAGUCUGGGGUUUUUAUGGGCUUCAGAAAGGAGGAAGUGUGUGCUCAUUGGUCCAUGGGCAGCCAUGGGUGGGCCCAGGAAAAGCACCGUAAGUUCUCACUCUGGGCCACAGACUCUACCCAGAACUGGCAGCCUGGCCCCCAGGCUUCAGGCCAUUCUUGGCUCGAAGGAGGGGCUUUACUGGGGACCUGCCCCUUCCCAUCCAGGAACCUGUCUGCCUCCUGCCCUCAUCAACAUGUCAUCCAUGGCACCUUGGCUGUCCACACUGAGGGGUGUCUGCAGGCCCAUGCCAAGCUGCCCUCAGUCACUGCCCCUCCCAUCUCCCUCCCAUGCUCUUUGGCGCCCAAAGUCUGGAGGGGGCUGAGGUGGCUGGGGGCUGUUGUGUCAGCACCACCCUGAGCCCAUGUACAGCUGGCCAGGUUAUGACAAUGCCCAGGCUCAACCACAACUUUGCUCUGCCCCAGAGCAGGUGCUGGGAGCAGGGAGAGGCCACAGAGCAGGAGCAGGCACUUCCAAGCCUGCGGGAGCAGGGGAGCUUCCCAGUCCCUGAGAGCACAGGGAUGCCCAGGUCUGGAGUUGUGGCUGGGUGGCUACAGCUGUGCCCCAGAGCAUGGUGCUCCUAGCCUACCAACUUGGUAAGGCAAGGAGCUCCCACCUAUUCCUGGCCCCUGCUAGCUCUGGGGAGUGCACAGCCCCAGCUGCACUUCCCCCACUGCAGCCUGUGUCUUCACAGUGUGGCCACUCCAGAUGGUCUGCUGCUGCUAUCACAUAUACAUACAUAAAUGCAUGCAUACAUACAUACAUAAAUAUACACAGAUUUGUUAUGGGAAUUGGCUCAUACAAUUAUGGAGGCUAAGAUGUCCCAAGAUGGGUUGUCUGCAAACUGCAAAACCAGGGAAGCUGUUGGUGCAAUUAUCUGAGUACAAAAGCCUAAGAACCAGGGGAGCAGAUGGUUUAACUCUCAGUCCUAGGCUGAAGGCCUGAAAAACUGGAGGGACUGCUUAUGUAAGUCUGAGUCCAUUUGCCUGAGAAUCUGGAGUUCAUUUUUUUUUUUUUGAGACGGAGUCUCACUCUCUCGCCCAGGCUGGAGUGCAGUGGCUCGAUCUUGGCUCAUUGCAACGUCCACCUCCCUGGUUCAAGUGAUCCUCCUGCCUCAGACUCCUGAGUAGCUGGGACUACAGGCAUGUGCCGCCAUGCCUAGCUAAUUUUUGUAUUUUUAGAAGAGACAGGGUUUCACCAUGUUGGCCAGGCUCGUCUUGAACUCCUGACCUCAGGUAAGGUUCCUAAGGUCCCUCCCAAAGUGCUAAGAUUAUAGGCGUGAGCCACCACGCCCAGCUGAGAAUCUGGAGUUCUGAUGUCUGAGGGUACGAAAAGAUGGCUGUUUCAGCUCAGAGAGAGCAAAUUCAAACUUUUUCUGCUUCUUUGUUCUAUCUGUCAUCAAUGGUUUGAAUGACCUGCCUACAUUGGUGACCGCGGGUCUUCUUUACUCAAUCUACUGAUUCAAAUGCUUAAUGUCUUCUGGAAACAUCCUCACAGUAUUCCUAGAAAUAAUGUUUUACCAGUUACUGGGUAUCUUUAACCUAGUCAAAUUGACACCUUAAAUUAAUCACCACAUUAGGUAAUGAGAUGUCCAUAGUUGGCUUUGAAAACUAUGACAUAUAUUUGGGAAUCUAGAAGGCCAGGAGAAACCUGAGAAGGCCUGAAACUCUUACCUCUGGUUGACUUUUGUGGCUCUAUGCAAGCAACAAGUGACAGGUAAGGCAGAAUUAUAAGCUGCCUGCUGGAGCAUUAAAGGUGCAACCCAACACACACAUAGAACCCUUUGGCAGAGUAAAAGAAUUAUUGUUUUAAGUGAUUUUUUAUAUAAAAAGGAUUAUACACCAUGACCAAGAGGGAUUUAUCCCAGGAAUGCAAGGUUGGUUUAACAUAUGAAAAAUCAAUCAAUGUAAUAUAUAUUAUAUUAAUAGCAUAAAAAACAAAAAUAACAUGAUUAUAGAUGUGGAAAAGGCAGUUGAAAAAAUCUGGCACCCUUUCAUGACAAGAACAUUCAGUAAAUUAUGAAUAGAAGGGAACUUCCUCAACCCAUUAAAGGGCAUCUAUGAAGAACCCACAGCUAAUAUCAUACUUAAUGUUGAAAGACUGAAAAUUUUCCCUCUAAUAUUAGGAAGACAAAGAUGUCUCAUGUCUCCACUUCUAUUCAACAUUGUACUGUAGGUUCUAACCAGGGCAAUUAUGUAAGAAAAAGAAUUAAAAGACAUUAAGCUUGGAAAGCAGGAAGGAAAACUAUCUUUAUUCACAAUUGACGUUAACUUAUAUAUAAAAAAUACUAAGGAACACACGCACACACAUGCACACGCACACACACAUACACACACACAGCAUUAGAGCUAAUACAAAUUCAGCAAUGUUUCAGGAUACAAGAUCAAGAUACAAAAAUCUGUUGUUUUUCUGUGUACUAACUUAAAAAAUAAUAAAUAUGAAAAUGGAAUUAAGAAAAUAUUCUAUCAUAGCAUAAACAAGAAUAAAAUAGGAAUAAAUUUAACAAAGGAAGUACAAGGCUUAUACACUGGAAAAUAUAAAACAU